rnacentral:rRNA from 1 species
AUUGAACGCUGGCGGCAUGCCUUACACAUGCAAGUCGAACGGUAACAGGCCGCAAGGUGCUGACGAGCGGCGAACGGGUGAGUAAUGCAUACGAACGUGCCCAGUCGUUGGGGAUAACUACUCGAAAGAGUAACUAAUACCGCAUACGAUCUAAGGAUGAAAGCGGGGGACCGUAAGGCUUCGCGCGAUUGGAGCGGCCGAUGUCAGAUUAGGUAGUUGGUGAGGUAAAGGCUCACCAAGCCAACGAUCUGUAGCUGGUCUGAGAGGAGGACCAGCCACACUGGAACUGAGACACGGCCCAGACUCCUACGGGAGGCAGCAGUGGGGAAUUUUCGACAAUGGGCGCAAGCCUGAUCCAGCAAUGCCGCGUGCAGGAAGAAGGCCUUCGGGUUGUAAACUGCUGUUAUAAGGAACGAAACGGCUCGGGUUAAUACCCGGGGGUAAUGACGGUACCGUAAGAGUAAGCACCGGCUAACUACGUG